CCAAUAGCGUAUAUUAAAGUUGUUGCAGUUAAAAAGCUCGUAGUUGAAUUUCAGGCCUGGCUGGACGGUCCGCCCUUCGGGUGAGUACUGUCUGUAGUCGGGUCCUACCUUCUGGCGAAGCGUCAUGGCCUUAACCGGCCGUGGCGGGGAACCAGGACUUUUACUGUGAAAAAAUUAGAGUGUUCAAAGCAGGCAAUCGCUUGGAUACAUUAGCAUGGAAUAAUGGAAUAGGACAAUGGUUCUAUUUGUUGGUUUCUAGGACCGUUGUAAUGAUUAAUAGGGAUAGUUGGGGGCAUUAGUAUUCAAUUGUCAGAGGUGAAAUUCUUGGAUUUAUUGAAGACUAACUACUGCGAAAGCAUUUGCCAAGGAUGUUUUCAUUAAUCAAGAACGAAAGUUAGGGGAUCGAAGAUGAUCAGAUACCGUCGUAGUCUUAACCAUAAACUAUGCCGACUAGGGAUCGGAUGAUGUUAAUUUUUUAAUGACUCAUUCGGCGCCUUACG
rnacentral:rRNA from 1 species